rnacentral:rRNA from 1 species
UUUUCCGGUUGAUCCUGCCGGACCCUACUGCUAUCGGGGUGGGACUAAGACAUGCGAGUUGAGCGUCUCUAGCCAUGGUGAGACGCGGCAUACGGCUCAGUAACACGUGGCUAACCUACCCUCAGGACAGGGACAAACCCGGGAAACUGGGGCUAAUACCCGAUAGGCGAGGAAGCCUGGAAUGGCUCUUCACCCAAAAGGCUUUGAAAGCAUGCUUUUCAAACUCGCCUGAGGAUGAGGCCGCGUCCGAUCAGGUUGUUGGUGAGGUAAUGGCUCACCAAGCCUAUAACCGGUACGGGCCGUGAGAGCGGGAGCCCGGAGAUGGGCACUGAGACAAGGGCCCAGGCCCUACGGGGCGCAGCAGUCGCGAAAACUCCGCAAUGCACGAAAGUGUGACGGGGCUACCCCGAGUGCCUUCCGCUGAGGAUGGCUUUUCCCCGGUGUAACUAGCCGGGGGAAUAAGGAGAGGGCAAGACUGGUGUCAGCCGCCGCGGUAAUACCAGCUCUCCGAGUGGUAGGGAUGAUUAUUGGGCUUAAAGCGUCCGUAGCCGGCUUAGCAAGUCUCCUGUUAAAUUCAGCGACCUAAUCGUUGAGCCGCGGGAGAUACUACUAGGCUAGGAGGCGGGAGAGGCCGACGGUACUUCCGGGGUAGGGGUGAAAUCCUAUAAUCCCGGGAGGACCACCAGUGGCGAAGGCUGUCGGCUGGAACGCGCUCGACGGUGAGGGACGAAAGCUGGGGGAGCGAACCGGAUUAGAUACCCGGGUAGUCCCAGCUGUAAACGAUGCGGGCUAGGUGUUGGGGUGGCUACGAGCCACCUCAGUGCCGCAGGGAAGCCAUUAAGCCCGCCGCCUGGGAAGUACGGCCGCAAGGCUGAAACUUAAAGGAAUUGGCGGGGGAGCACCACAAGGCGUGAGGCUUGCGGUUCAAUUGGAGUCAACGCCGGAAAUCACUAGU